rnacentral:rRNA from 1 species
AUUGAAACGCUGGCGGCAUGCCGUUACACAAUGCAAGUCGAACGGUAACAGGUUAAGCUGACGAGUGGCGAACGGGUGAGUAAUAUAUCGGAACGUGCCCAAUCGUGGGGGAUAACGCAGCGAAAGUUGUGCUAAUACCGCAUACGAUCUACGGAUGAAAGUGGGGGACCGCAAGGCCUCACGCAGAAAGAUGAGCCGACGACCGAUUAGCUAGUUGGUAGGGUAAAUGGCUCACCAAGGCGACGACGGGUAGCCGGCCUGAGAGGGCGACCGGCCACACUGGGACUGAGACACGGCCCAGACUCCUACGGGAGGCAGCAGUGGGGAAUAUUGGGCAAUGGAGGAAACUCUGACCCAGCGACGCCGCGUGAGGGAUGAAGGCCUUCGGGUUGUAAACCUCUUUCAGUAGGGAAGAAGCGAAAGUGACGGCACCUACAGAAGAAGCACCGGCUAACUAUGUG